GACGAACGCUGGCGGCGUGCUUAACACAUGCAAGUCGAACGGAAAGGCCCUUCUUUUGUGGGGUGCGCGAGUGGCGAACGGGUGAGUAACACGUAAGUAACCUGCCCUUGACUUUGGUAUAACUUCAGGAAACUGGGUCUAAUACCGGAUAGGAGCUCCUGCUGCAUGGUGGGGGGUGGAAAGGUUCGGGCGUUGGUGCUGGACGCGCGGCUUAUCAGCUUGUUGGUGGGGUAGUGGCGUACGAAGGCUUUGACGGGUAGACGGCCUGACGGGGUGACCGGCACCGUUGGGACUGAGAUACGGCCCAGACUUCUACGGGAGGGCGCAGUGGGGACUAGUGCACAAUGGGCGGAACCCUGAUGCAGCAAAGCCGCGUGCGGGAUGACGGCCUUCGGCUUGUAAACCGCUUCUGCCUGUGACGAAGCGGGAGUGACGGUAAUGGGUAAAGAAGCACCGGCUAACUACGUG
rnacentral:rRNA from 1 species